rnacentral:rRNA from 1 species
AGCGAACGUUAGCGGCGGGCCUAACACAUGCAAGUCGAACGCGAAAGGUCUUCGGACUGAUUGAGUGGCGCACGGGUGAGUAACACGUAGGUAAUCUACCCUUUGGCGGGGGAUAACGUUCCGAAAGGGACGCUAAUACCGCAUAAGACCACGAUGUCCUCGGACGAUGUGGGAAAAGGUGGCCUCUUCUUGAAAGCUAC